rnacentral:rRNA from 1 species
UACGGAGGGGGCUAGCGUUGUUCGGAAUUACUGGGCGUAAAGCGCACGUAGGCGGACUGGAAAGUUGGGGGUGAAAUCCCGGGGCUCAACCUCGGAACUGCCUUCAAAACUAUCAGUCUGGAGUUCGGGAGAGGUGAGUGGAAUUGCGAGUGUAGAGGUGAAAUUCGUAGAUAUUCGCAGGAACACCAGUGGCGAAGGCGGCUCACUGGCUCGAUACUGACGCUGAGGUGCGAAAGCGUGGGGAGCAAACAGG